rnacentral:lncRNA from 1 species
CUCGUACAAUCACACACCUGAAUCCUCCAGACGUAUUUCUCCAGCAGCGUCAGGCAGAGCCUUCAUUCCCCUGGCCAAGGCAAACGGGUUGCCGUUCCCCUUGGAGCUCGUCCACCCACCAACUUACUUGGUGGGAGAGACUGCUGCCGAGUACUGUGAAGGAUCCCAGAGGGGCCAAUGGUGUCACCUCCACAGGGCUGCGCGCACCUGCCACUGGCAGAGCAAGAGGCCAGCGCUGGUCAUCACAAAAUGCAGAUCUCGUGCCUGAACCUCAUUUCAUGAAGACAAAAACAUGCGUUCUCUGAUCUCCGGCAUGGCGUCCAUAGCGAA